GACGAACGCUGGCGGCGUGCUUAACACAUGCAAGUCGAGCGGAAAGGCCCUUUCGGGGGUACUCGAGCGGCGAACGGGUGAGUAACACGUGAGUAAUCUGCCCUGUGCUCUGGGAUAGCCACCGGAAACGGUGAUUAAUACCGGAUAUGACCGGCUACUGCAUGGUGGUUGGUGGAAAGUUUUUUCGGCAUGGGAUGUGCUCGCGGCCUAUCAGCUUGUUGGUGAGGUAAUGGAUCACCAAGGCUUUGACGGGUAGCCGGCCUGAGAGGGUGACCGGUCACACUGGGACUGAGACACGGCCCAGACUCCUACGGGAGGCAGCAGUGGGGAAUAUUGGACAAUGGGCGGAAGCCUGAUCCAGCAACGCCGCGUGAGGGAUGACGGCCUUCGGGUUGUAAACCUCUUUCAGUACCGACGAAGCGCAAGUGACGGUAGGUACAGAAAAAGGACCGGCUAACUACGUGCCAGCAGCCGCAGUAAGAC
rnacentral:rRNA from 1 species